AUCUAUCGUUCCCCUGUUUCCCUUCGAGGAGGGCACGGCAACUUAUCAGCUUUAUGUUUGCAGGAACAGCCCUCCAGGGAACAUGGGUGUGAACCAUACUAGGGGGUUCCUGCCCUUGUAUUUUGAAGACUGAUAAUUCCAGACCCUAUUCGGAAAGUUGAUUCUUCCUGCUGCCUCCUAGCCCUGGGCUUUGGCUUUAUGCUGUCUGUAGUCUGGCGCUACGUACAUCUUUGGGAAAAGCGGUGGGCUCAUCCUCUACACCUGGCCAGCCAAUGACAGGCCCAGCACGCGCUCUGACCGCCUUGCCGUGGGCUUCAGCACCACUGUGAAGGAUGGCAUCUUGGUCCGCAUCGACAGUGCUCCAGGACUUGGUGACUUCCUCCAGCUUCACAUAGAACAGGGGAAAAUUGGAGUUGUCUUCAAUAUUGGCACAGUUGACAUCUCCAUCAAAGAGGAGAGAACCCCUGUAAAUGACGGCAAAUACCAUGUGGUACGCUUCACCAGGAACG
rnacentral:sRNA from 1 species